rnacentral:rRNA from 1 species
CGCGGCCUAUCAGCUUGUUGGUGGGGUGAUGGCCUACCAAGGCGACGACGGGUAGCCGGCCUGAGAGGGCGACCGGCCACACUGGGACUGAGACACGGCCCAGACUCCUACGGGAGGCAGCAGUGGGGAACAUUGCGCAAUGGGCGGAAGCCUGACGCAGCGACGCCGCGUGGGGGAUGACGGCCUUCGGGUUGUAAACCUCUUUCAGCAGGGACGAAGCGAAAGUGACGGUACCUGCAGAAGAAGCCCCGGCCAACUACGUGCCAGCAGCCGCGGUAAUACGUAGGGGGCUAGCGUUGUCCGGAUUUAUUGGGCGUAAAGAGCUCGUAGGCUGCUUCGCAAGUCGGACGUGAAAUCCCACGGCUUAACUGUGGGGGGCCGUUCGAUACUACGAGGCUAGAGGCCGGUAGGGGGACGUGGAAUUCCUGGUGUAGCGGUGAAAUGCGCAGAUAUCAGGAGGAACACCGGUGGCGAAGGCGGCGUCCUGGGCCGGUCCUGACGCUGAGGAGCGAAAGCUGGG